CGCAUCUGUGCAUGCAGCAUAUCAAUAAGCGGAGGAAAAGAAACUAACAAGGAUUCCCCUAGUAACGGCGAGUGAAGCGGGAAGAGCUCAAAUUUGAAAUCUUAAAGGGUUUCCCUUUACGAAUUGUAGUUUAAAGAAGUGUUUUCUGUUGAGGUUUUGGUAAAAGUUCUUUGGAAUAGGACAUCAUAGAGGGUGAGAAUCCCGUAUUUGACCUUUACUUUCAACUUUGUGAUACACUUUCAAAGAGUCGGAUUGUUUGGGAUGCAGUCCAAAAUGGGUGGUAAAUUUCAUCUAAAGCUAAAUAUUGGCGAGAGACCGAUAGCGAACAAGUACCGUGAGGGAAAGAUGAAAAGAACUUUGAAAAGAGAGUUAAACAGUACGUGAAAUUGUCAAAAGGGAAGCGUUUGACACCCGUGUUGUUUUUCUGAAAAUCAAUUAAAGAACUGUUUAUGCUAAGUUGUUUAGACUUUAUCAGCUAUCUGCCUAGUUUUGAGCUUUUCUUUAAUGCACUUUUCAGUUAACAAGUCAACAUCAAUUUCUUUUGCUGUAAAAAAGCUUGAGGAAGGUGGCUUGAGAUUCGUCUUAAGUGUUUAUAGCCUCUUGCCUAUGCAGUCGGAGAGAUUGAGGUCUGCAGCGUAGAUCCUUCGGGGCUAAGUGCAUUUGUGCUAAGUUAUAGCAUUUUAUAGACAACUUGUUGACUAUGAUUUGUCUUGUAGCUUACUCGCUUAUGUUAUUUUACCUACGCUUAGGAUGUUGAGUCGUAGAGCACGCAG
rnacentral:rRNA from 1 species